rnacentral:rRNA from 1 species
CAAUAGCGUAUAUUAAAGUUGUUGCAGUUAAAAAGCUCGUAGUUGGAUUUCUGCUGAGGACGAUCGGUCCGCCCACUGGGUGAGUAUCUGGCUCGGCCUUGGCAUCUUCUUGGAGAACGUUGCUGCACUUGACUGUGUGGCGCGGUAUCCAGGACUUUUACUUUGAGGAAAUUAGAGUGUUUCAAGCAGGCGCACGCCUUGAAUACAUUAGCAUGGAAUAAUGAGAUAGGACCUUGGUUCUAUUUUGUUGGUUUUCGGGACCGAGGUCAUGGUUAAGAGGGACAGUUGGGGGCAUUCGUAUUCAAUUGUCAGGGGUGAAAUUCUUGGAUUUAUGGAAGACGAACAACUGCGAAAGCAUUUGCCAAGGAUGUUUUCAUUAA